GUGAAGAACGCAGCGAAAUGCGAUAAGUAAUGUGAAUUGCAGAAUUCAGUGAAUCAUCGAAUCUUUGAACGCACAUUGCGCCCGUUAGCAUUCUAGCGGGCAUGCCUGUCCGAGCGUCAUUUCAACCCUCAGGGUCCCCGUUCCGGCGGGGAACCUGGUGUUGGGGAUCGGCCCGCCCCGUGCGGCGCCGUCCCCCAAAUUCAGUGGCGGUCUCGCUGCAGCCUCCCCUGCGUAGUAGUUACAACCUCGCAUCGGAGCUCAGCGCGGCCACGCCGUAAAACCCCCGACUUUCUGAACGUUGACCUCGGAUCAGGUAGGAAUACCCGCUGAACUUAAGCAUAUCAAUAAGCGGAGGA
rnacentral:misc_RNA from 1 species